GACGAACGCUGGCGGCGUCCUUAACACAUGCAAGUCGAACGGAAAGGCCCCUUUGGGGGUACUCGAGUGGCGAACGGGUGAGUAACACGUGAGUAACCUGCCCUUGACUUCGGGAUAACUUCAGGAAACUGGGGCUAAUACCGGAUAGGAAUCCUUGCUGCAUGGUGGGGGUUGGAAAGCUUCGGCGGUUUUGGAUGGACUCGCGGCUUAUCAGCUUGUUGGUGGGGUAGUGGCUUACCAAGGCUUUGACGGGUAGCCGGCCUGAGAGGGCGACCGGCCACAUUGGGACUGAGAUACGGCCCAGACUCCUACGGGAGGCAGCAGUGGGGAAUAUUGCACAAUGGGCGGAAGCCUGAUGCAGCAACGCCGCGUGCGGGAUGACGGCCUUCGGGUUGUAAACCGCUUUCAGCAGGGGCGAAGCUUGUGGUGACGGUACCUGCAGAAGAAGCACCGGCUAACUACGUG
rnacentral:rRNA from 1 species